GAGUGCUCUGUAUGCUGGAAUUAGCAUUACAGAGAUGUGGUCUGAGUAUCCGAGGUGGGGGCGGGGCUCCGCCCGGUACGCACCGGCAAUGUUCGUGUAAACAUUAUCCAGCGUGUUCGCUCCUCUCGUAGCAAAGUCCACAUGCUGAUGGAAUUUAGGGAGAACAGACUUGAGAUUUGCAUGAUUAAAAUCCCCAGCGAUAAUAAACAGUCCGUCUGGAUGAAUGUUCUGCAGUUCGCUGAUGGCUCUGUAAAGUUCGCUCAAUGCUUCCUUCGCAUUCGCGCUGGGCGGAAGAUACCCCGCGACAAUAAGCACGCUGGUGAAUUCCCGUGGUAAAUAAAAAGGUCUGCAUCUAACAAUAGCAAAUUCCACCAUCGGAGAACAGUACGCCACAACAAGCACAGAGUCCUUGCAGCAUUCGGUGUUAAUGUAAUCACAAACGCCUCCUCCUCGUGUUUUACCGGACUGAGCUGCAUUUCUAUCGGCGCGAUACGAUGCUAGCCCGUCUAGCUGAAUGGCACUGUCUGGAAUGUUGUCACUAAGCCAUGUUUCAGUGAAAAUUAAAACACAACAGUCUCUGUACUCACAUUGGGUCGUUCGCUGAAGUCUGAUACAGUCCAGUUUAUUCUCCAGAAAGCAUGCAUUUGCGAGGAAUAACGAUGGUAGAGCCGGCCGGCUUGGGUUAGCUUUUAGCCUAGCACGGACCCCGGCUCGCUUUCCACGCUUCUGCUUCCUCGAGCACCGCUUGCGGCGCCCCCUCCCCCGGUCACCUGCUUCAGGUAACACCGAGGACUGCAGGCCAGGUUCGCGAAGUAGGCAGAGUUCAUGCAGAGUUUGCAGCAGAUCAUCCUGCAGGUUGGUUUCUGACUGUUUUCUCAAUUGUAGCAGUGUAUGGCGGUUGUAAACUGAGUCAAAAGUGGUUUCCAUACGUUUAUAAACAAAACUGUCCUAAACAAAUUUACAAACUUUUUCUGAAAACAACAAAAAAACACCGUUUUUCGACCCCAGAGCGGCCGCUGCGUGUUAACGCGCCGCCAUCUUGGUCCUAGUUCACAGGAGACAAUGAGAAUGAUCAUCAAAAUGAUCAAUCCCGAAGGAGUGCAACUCCGGCGAGCUCGCCGUCUGCGCCGUCGCCAGUACUGCAACCGAGGCCCCAACGCUUUAUGGCAUAUGGACUCGUACGAUAAACUAAAGCCUUAUGGCAUUGCUAUAAAUGGUUGCAUUGACGGAUUUAGUCGCCAUGUCAUGUGGAUGGAGGCGUACAACACUAAUAACGACCCAAAAGUAAUUGCGGGUUAAUGGAUAAGCACAGUAACGCGCAUUGGAGGCUGCCCUCAGCGCUUGCGUGCCGAUCCAGGUACCGAGAAUGGGCAUGUGAGGGAAAUGCAGAUGUUUUUACGCAGAAAUCACUUGGACCCUUACGCAGGAGAUAGAAGUUUUAUUUAUGGAUGCAGCACGGCAAACCGACGCAUAGAAUCGUGGUGGGGCAUUCUGCAUAAACAAAGUGGACAGUUCUGGAUGGACAUUUUCCAGACGCUGAGAGAUGAUGGACAUUUUUCCGGUGACUUCUUGGACAGAAAUCUGAAUGUUCUGCUUCCUUAACCUAAUUCAGGAGGAACUAGACGAAGUUGUGAGGACAUGGAACUCCCAUCAAAUAAGGCCAAGGCCAGGAAUUCCAGGAGGACGCCCAAUUUUAAUGUACUGCAUGCCACAGAUUUAUGGUGCAGGGGAGGACAAACUCAAAUAUGUGCUUCCAGAAGAGGUCACUGUUUGCAAAGAGGAAUGCACCCCAAAAUCCCAGUUCCCCUGUGAUGAAACAGUCUUUGAGUUUUGUGCUCUUCUUAUUGAUGAAAAUGGCUGGGAUGCUUCUGUUGAUGCAUACCAUGCAGCUGAACUGUACAUUCUCUUAAGAAAUCAAAUACUAGAUAAUAUCUAGAACUGAGCUUCUCAACAGUGGGGAUCCACUGAUGAGCUGAGCCAAGCCAGUCGGUUCUCGGAACUAAAGUCACUUUCUAAGAGAUUGUGUCUGUAGUUAUAUUAAAAUAAAUGGUGUUUAUAUGCAUGCAUAAUAAAAAUUUUAUAAUUUCAAAUAUA